GAAAAGAAUAAGAAAAAGGUCAAUAAAGCAAUAAAGGAAAGCUAAAAUAGCGAUAUAAGUGGAUAACAAAGAGAGAUGCUGAGGCAUUCUAUGACACACGUAUCCCCUUUUGAUCCUUUUUUUUCUAUUACUUGUUUAAAUAUUAGUCCUUCCAAUCCAACGAUCUAUAGUGAAAGAGUUGGCGGAGAGAACUUUUUUAUCUUUUUUGCAUAGGAGCUGAAGGGAGCCUUCCUUUGACAUCAUUACAAGCUCCUGUCAUAACGAUUUUAGAUAAAGAAAAUGGGAUUGUGUUGGGUAGGGUGUAGGUCAAAAAUCUUGAUGAUGAGAAGUUCAAAGAUGAUCCAGAUGUUGAAGUGGCACGGACGUAGAGUUGCACACAGCAGCUCUGAUGUUAGUCUUGAAAGAAGAACACCUGUGAAUUGUUUCAAAGGACUUCACAUUGCUAGGAAGUUGUAUUGGAGGUUAAAGUCACAGUGGAGGCAACUUCUUUCGUGGCACAGAAGUUCUGUUCGAUUUAGCUAUGAUGCUUACAGCUACUCUCAGAAUUUCGAUGAUGGAUGCUCCCAGGAACAUCGUUCGCCUUUAGCUCCUCGGUAAAUUUUCAUUUCUCAGGAGUUCAUCAGUACAACAAUUAGCAAGUUGAGUAGAGAAUUUGGUCAUGUUUCUAUUACAAUGCAGUUUUACUUGCAACAUAUUGUUCUGAAUUAUUCACAUUCCCAGGUUAUUAAGUGUGUGUAUAUAUAUAAGUGGAUGAACUUUAUUAGAAGAAAAUUCUGCAAGAAGUUUGAUAAUGGUAAUGAGUACAAUUUCUCCAUUAAAGCAUAUAGUAUAUUAUAAUGUUUGGUUUGAUGAACUUUAGCAAAAGAAAAUAAUAGGUGUAUGGAUAGCAAAUGUGGGCCUCAAGUCUAUCUAGUAUAACUUCUUUUCAAGGCUACAAUUAAUGGGAUUAUUGAUGGAAUAAUAAACAGUUGAACACCCUUAAGAUUGAUUUUGGGUCAUUUUUAUCUUACCAGUAACUUCAGAAAAUGAGAUAAGAUUGAUAUGUUACUCUUAAAUGUUUGAAUAAUUUUAAUUCUAUGCUAUGUUGAUAUUGAUGCAACUAAUUAAAUUGAUUUUUAUAAAAGCUAUUGGGGGAAAGAAUAAAUAAAUUAGAACUAUUCCAAUAAAUAAUGAUAUGGCAAAAAAUGAGUCACUCAAAUAAUCUAUGAUUAUAAUGGAUACUGAAUGAUUAAAGUGAAAAAGUAGUGUACGUGUCACAUGAAGCUGCUAUUUUGAAAAAAAGAAAGAAGAAAAAAACAGAGAAAAAUCUAUCCACGGCACUUGUGAUGCAUCAAUAAUGCUCUUGCACUUUUGCUAAUAUGG
rnacentral:lncRNA from 1 species